AGCAUUAUACGUCCACCGGCAUUAAGGGGUUAAAGGAACACUAUAGGCAUCCACACCAAUUCAUCUCAUUGAAGUAGUCGGGGUGCACUCUCCCUGUCCCCAUAGCCCUGCAGUUCAAAACAUUGCAGUUUCAGAGAUAUGGCAAUUUUUAUAUUGCAGGGUGAUGACUGCCUCUAGUGGCUCUCUCUCUCAGAGGUGCUUCCUGCAUUUACACAGAGUUUAACUCAGUUUCGACACUGGAUGUUCUCACACUUCUCAUGAGCACAUCCAACAUCUUAAAAAUCCCUAUAGGAAAGAAUGGAUUCACUGGUUUAUUAUGCG